ACCAGGAUGGCCGAGUGGUUAAGGCGUUGGACUUAAGAUCCAAAGUCCUUGUGGGUUCGAACCCCACUCUUGGUA